GGGGGUGUUCCGGUUUCGACGGUGAAGAUACCCGGGUCGUGCGUUGCAGGCGGAGCGCCAACUCCAAAAACUAGCACCAUUUUACCUGCAGACAAUGCAGAUUUUGCAAUGGCAGCUUAAUUAAGCCUGCCACGGAUUCGUAAGACGCCGCCUCGAGGCUUACGCGAUUCGACAUAAACCGGGGCUUGCUGCGCAGUCCGUCCGGGGGCCGCGCGGGACUCUAUACCCGGACUGGAAGACUGAGUGGCACGUCGGUGCGCCGCCCGGUCUUUGAGACUUAAAGCACUGACUAAGCCUGUAGACGCGUGCGGACGGCUUCGCCGGACAGGGGUUCGAUUCCCCUCACCUCCAUGC
rnacentral:tmRNA from 1 species